GAUGAACGCUGGCGGCGUGCCUAAUACAUGCAAGUCGAGCGAACAGACGAGGAGUUUGCUCCUCUGACGUUAGCGGCGGACGGGUGAGUAACACGUGGAUAACCUACCUAUAAGACUGGGAUAACUUCGGGAAAUCGUAGCUAAUACCGGAUAAUAUAUUGAACCGCAUGGUUCAAUAGUGAAAGACGGUUUUGCUGUUGCUUAUAGACGGAUCCGCGCCGCAUUAGCUAGUUGGCAAGGUAACGGCUUACCAAGGCGACGAUGCGUAGCCGACCUGAGAGGGUGAUCGGCCACACUGGAACUGAGACACGGUCCAGACUCCUACGGGAGGCAGCAGUAGGGAAUCUUCCGCAAUGGGCGAAAGCUUGACGGAGCAACGCCGCGUGAGUGAUGAAGGUCUUCGGAUCGUAAAGCUCUGUUAUUAGGGAAGAACAAAUGUGUAAGUAAAUAUGCACGUCUUGACGGUACCUAAUCAGAAAGCCACGGCUAACUACGUG
rnacentral:rRNA from 1 species